UACGUAGGGCGCAAGCGUUGUCCGGAAUUAUUGGGCGUAAAGAGCUCGUAGGCGGUUUGUCGCGUCUGCUGUGAAAACCUGAGGCUCAACCUCGGGCUUGCAGUGGGUACGGGCAGACUAGAGUGCGGUAGGGGUGACUGGAAUUCCUGGUGUAGCGGUGGAAUGCGCAGAUAUCAGGAGGAACACCGAUGGCGAAGGCAGGUCACUGGGCCGCAACUGGCGCUGAGACACGAAAGCCAGGGGAGCGAACGGG
rnacentral:rRNA from 1 species